CGGAGGGUGCAAGCGUUAUCCGGAUUCACUGGGUUUAAAGGGUGCGUAGGCGGAUAGGUAAGUCCGUGGUGAAAUCCUGCAGCUUAACUGCAGAACUGCCGUGGAUACUAUCUAUCUUGAAUGUCGUGGAGGUUAGCAGAAUAUGUCAUGUAGCGGUGAAAUGCUUAGAUAUGACAUAGAAUACCCAUUGCGAAGGCAGCUAACUACGCGAUAAUUGACGCUGAUGCACGAAAGCGUGGGGAUCAAACAGGAUUAGAUACCCUGGUAGUCCACGCCCUAAACGAUGAUUACUCGACAUUGGCGAUACACAGUCAGUGUCUGAGCGAAAGCAUUAAGUAAUCCACCUGGGAAGUACGAUCGCAAGAUUG
rnacentral:rRNA from 1 species